rnacentral:rRNA from 1 species
ACUAUCAGUUCUGACAUAAAUUACACAUGCAAGUAUCCGCAGCCCUGUGAGGAUGCCCUUAAUCCCCCGCCCGGGGACGAGGAGCAGGCAUCAGGCACAGUAUUUCUGGCCCAAGACGCCUUGCCGCGCCACACCCCCAAGGGAAUUCAGCAGUGAUAGACAUUAAGCCAUAAGCGUAAGCUUGACUUAGUUAAUGUUAAGAGGGCCGGUAAAACUCGUGCCAGCCACCGCGGUUAUACGAGAGGCCCUAAUUGAUAGGCACGGCGUAAAGGGUGGUUAAGGAGAAUAAAUUUUUAAAGCCGAAGGGCCUCUUGGCCGUCAUACGCUCCUGAGCGUCCGAAGUCCGAAAACGAAAGUAGCUUUAAAGUAGCCCACCUGAACCCACGAAAGCUGAAAAACAAACUGGGAUUAGAUACCCCACUAUGCUCAGCCGUAAACCCAGACGUUGCCACACAACAGACGUCCGCCAGGGUACUACAAGCGUUAGCUUAAAACCCAAAGGACUUGGCGGUGCCUCAGACCCCC